CCCUACGGGGUGCAGCAGGCGCGAAACCUCCACAAUUCACGAAAGUGAGAUGGGGUUACCUCGAGUGCCAUCUGAAGAAGGUGGCUUUUCCAUUGUGUAAUGAGCCGUGGGAAUAAGGGGGGGGGCAAGACUGGUGUCAGCCGCCGCGGUAACACCAGCCCCCCCGAGUGGUGGGGAUGAUUAUUUGGCCUAAAGCGUCCGUAGCCGGCUCUGUAAAUCUCUCGUUAAAUCCAGCGUCCUAAGCGUUGGACUGCGAGGGAAACUGCAGAGCUAGAGGGUGGGAGAGGUCAGCGGUAUUCCUGGGGUAGGGGCGAAAUCCAUUGAUCCCAGGAGGACCACCAGUGGCGAAGGCUGCUGACUAGAACACGCCUGACGGUGAGGGACGAAAGCUGGGGUAGCGAAUCGGAUUAGAUACCCGAGUAGUCCCAGCCGUAAACGAUGCAGGCUAGGUGUUGGGUUGGCCACGUGCCAGCUCAGUGCCACAGGGAAGCCAUUAAGCCUGCCGCCUGGGGAGUACGGCCGCAAGGCUGAAACUUAAAGGAAUUGGCGGGGGAGCACCACCAGGCGUGAAGCCUGCGGUUUAAUUGGAGUCAACGCCGGGAAUCUUAUCGGGAGCGACAGCAGAGUGAAAGCCACGUUGAAAGUCUUGCCCGACAACCUGAAAAAAAUGCCCUGGC
rnacentral:rRNA from 1 species